rnacentral:rRNA from 1 species
UACGGAGGGGGCGAGCGUUAUCCGGAAUCAUUGGGCGUAAAGGGUGCGUAGGCGUUCUUUUAGGCGCGAGGUUUAAGGCUACGGCUUAACCGUAGUUCGCCUUGCGAACUGGAGGACUUGAGUGCUGGAGAGGAAAGCGGAAUUCCUAGUGUAGCGGUGAAAUGCGUAGAUAUUAGGAGGAACACCAGUGGCGAAGGCGGCUUUCUGGACAGUAACUGACGCUGAUGCACGAAAGCGUGGGGAGCAAACA